GUCAAAAGUAGUUACAGAAACAAAGCUGUGUGAAGUAAUCACCAUACAUAUAUCAUUACUUUUAAUACGGACAAGCGGAGACCUGUCCUGGAACAUUGCUGUACUCUCUAUAUGAUAAAAUAUUGUACGCCUCUGAAAUAAAUCAGAAGCGCAUGUUCAAAAUUUCAACAGGAGAUGGCACUGCAAGUAUCAGUGUACAGCUUGGCAUUAAUUUGAUCUCAAUGCCUGUAUUUUAAUGAAUAAAGCCAUAUGCCAGGACUUAAAUUGAGAGAGGGAAGAAACGUUAAACCAAUGGCCAGUAUCACAACUAAGUAAUAUUUACAAAUGACUUACACAGUUUACAUAAAUCAAGAUUUAUUCAUCACAAAAUAUUUUAUGGAGCUGGAAUGUGCAUAAUGAGAACACAUUAUGAGAUGGUUGUGUCUCUCUGUCAGUCGAUUCCACUCAUAAACCACUGGACAUAACUGGAUGCAAUUUGAUGUGGAUAUUGUGCCAUUCUGCAUAACCUCAAAAUCAUACUUUUGAAUAUCCGAGUGGUGAUGGCGGGUCAGGAAAUCAAGCGGUAGACAGUGAAGUGCUGCGAUCUGGUGGCCAAAGUGGGAACUACUGAACAACCUCUAAAUGCACGUAGCAAAGAACGUAUCGGUGUAUUAUGUAUAUUCUGGUAUGGAAUAUGGAGUAAAGGAAAACAUUGAUAUAAGACUGGUUGCAACAAAACUGGUCACCAAUAGGAAAGUUUAUUUCUCACAUCAGAACAGCAUUGUCAGGAUAAAAUAAGUAAAAUAACUAUGCACAUGUACAGUACUGUCAUUUGUGUAUUUUA